rnacentral:piRNA from 1 species
UGCAUUUGUGGUAGUGAUAUGCAG